AACGCACAUUGCGCCCGCCAGUAUUCUGGCGGGCAUGCCUGUUCGAGCGUCAUUUCCACCCUCAGGCCCUGCCUGGUGUUGGGAGCCUGCAGUAUGCAGCUCCCCAAAGACAGCGGCGGUCCCGAUCCCGGCUCCGAGCGUAGUAAUAUACGUCGCUCAGGGUGCCUGGCGGGCUUCCAGCCGAAAGCCUUAUUAUAUCAAUGGUUGACCUCGGAUCAGGUAGGAAUACCCGCUGAACUUAA
rnacentral:misc_RNA from 1 species